AUUGAACGCUGGCGGCAUGCUUUACACAUGCAAGUCGAACGGCAGCGCGGGCUUCUGCCUCCCCGCGCGUUGCGAACGGGCGAGUAAUUCACCGGAACGUGCCCUGCCUUUGGGGAUGGCCUGGCGAAAGCCGGCUUAAUACCGCAUCCGAUCAUAUGUUGAACGCGGGGGUCCGAUAGUCCUCGCCCGAUUUGAUCGCCCGAAGCCGGAUUAGCUAGUUGGUUGGGUAAAGGCUUACCAAGGCGACGAUCCGUAGCUGGUCUGAGAGGCCGACCGGCCACACUGGAACUGAGACACGGCCCAGACUCCUACGGGAGGCAGCAGUAGGGAAUUUUCGGCAAUGGGGGAAAGCCUGAUGCAGCAAUGCCGCGUGCGUGAAGAAGGCCUUCGGGUUGUAAACCGCUUUUAUUCGGGAAGAAAAACUGUGGACUAAACCACGGGGGGGAUGACGGUACCGGAAGAAUAAGCACCGGCUAACUACGUG
rnacentral:rRNA from 1 species